rnacentral:rRNA from 1 species
ACGAACGCUGGCGGCGUGCCUAAUACAUGCAAGUCGAGCGGAAUGAUGAAGAAGCUUGCUUCUUCUGAUUUUAGCGGCGGACGGGUGAGUAACACGUGGGCAACCUACCUUGUAGAUUGGGAUAACUCCGGGAAACCGGGGCUAAUACCGAAUAAUCCAUUUUGCUUCAUGGCGAGAUGUUGAAAGACGGUUUCGGCUGUCACUACAAGAUGGGCCCGCGGCGCAUUAGCUAGUUGGUAGGGUAAUGGCCUACCAAGGCGUCGAUGCGUAGCCGACCUGAGAGGGUGAUCGGCCACACUGGGACUGAGACACGGCCCAGACUCCUACGGGAGGCAGCAGUAGGGAAUCUUCCACAAUGGACGAAAGUCUGAUGGAGCAACGCCGCGUGAGUGAAGAAGGUUUUCGGAUCGUAAAACUCUGUUGUAAGGGAAGAACACGUACGAGAGUAACUGCUCGUACCUUGACGGUACCUUAUUAGAAAGCCACGGCUAACUACGUG